rnacentral:rRNA from 1 species
CCCUUAGAUGUUCUGGGCCGCACGCGCGCUACACUGACGAAGUCAGCGAGCAUGUCCUACGCCGACAGGUGCGGGGAAUCUUGUCAAACUUCGUCGUGAUGGGGAUUGAUUAUUGAAAUUCUUGAUCAUCAACGAGGAAUUCCUAGUAAGCGCAAGUCAGCAGCUUGCGUUGAUUACGUCCCUGCCCUUUGUACACACCGCCCGUCGCUACAACCGAUUGAAUGGUUUAGUGAGAUCUUCGGAUUGGCGCCACUGCGGCUCAGCAAUGGGCUCGGUGGAUGCCGAAAAGUUGAUCAAACUUGAUCAUUUAGAGGAAGUAAAAGUCGUAACA